rnacentral:rRNA from 1 species
ACGUCAAAUCAUCAUGCCCCUUAUGUCUUGGGCUACACACGUGCUACAAUGGCUCGAACAAAGUGACGCAAAGCCGCGAGGCGGCGCAAACCACGAAAACGAGUCUCAGUUCGGAUUAUAGUCUGCAACCCGACUAUAUGAAGUUGGAAUCGCUAGUAAUCGCAAAUCAGCAUGUUGCGGUGAAUACGUUCCCGGGUCUU